GAAAGAGCAUGUGUUCUUAAUGUUUUGUACAUUCAGUGUACGUGCCAUUUGUAGAAAUGAAUACCUGCCCUGAAAUUGUCAAUACACGGCCCUGGAAAUUCUCCUGAAGUGUCCUAUUAUGCAAUAGAAGUGACUUAGAAGUGUUUAACUCGUUCCAUGGAACUUUCCUGCCUCACCUGAGAGUAGAGGAGGUGAGAGACCGCCCUUUCUGGGAAAAUAACACAAUUUAUUCUCCUCCCCUAAAGCUUAAAAUAGGAGCACACACACUCUUCUCUCACACACACAGUUUUGUCGUAGGAUAGUUGGUCGCUGUGCUGAAAAUCUUCCAGAACCUGUUCCUGACCUACGCUCCUAAGCACAGAUCUAGGAUCAGCUCAUCCUCAUCAAAUCCAAACCAGGACAUUAACAAACCACAAGGGGAACACUAACCUCAGACCAGCGUUUAAACCCCACGUCUUCCGGCCAAGACACUGACACUCCGUCCAGAAUUCCUCUGCGCUCCAGCUGUCCAUCCAUCCAUCCGUCCAUCUAUCCAUCCAUCCGUCCAUCCACACCCCAGCCAGCCAGCCAUGGGUCUGAUGAGCGAGGACAUGGAGUGCUGUGUCUGCCUCCAGCCCUACUCUCGCAGGGAGAAGAUCCCUCGGAUGCUCCACUGUAAGCACACAUUCUGUGGGCUGUGCUUGCAGGCGAUGUCCAGGCUCCAAAGCGGCCUACUGACAGUCUGCUGCCCCCUGUGCCGUUGGAUCACCUGCACCGAGCCCAGCCUCACCCUGCCGGGGUCGCUGUGGGUUAACAUUGAGAUCUGGGACCAGAUACUAGACAGACAACAGGAAGAGGAGGAGGAGGAAGAGGAGGAAGAGUGGAAGGGAGCUAACAGACACACACAGACCACUACACAGUACACAUGGCUCAAACUACAGAAUUUCCUGAGGAGGAUGAAGCACAAUGUACUGUAAACCGAGAAGACGAAGAGCAGAGUAAGAAGACUGGAUUUUCCCAUUUCAGAGCAGGAGAUACUCAUUGAGUAAUGAAGCUAAUUCAUAAAACAGGACCGACUGGUGAUUUUCCAUCAUGAAGCAAGAUUGAACCAAUUAUUCAUAUGCUUUGUGUUUGAUUGACUUUGGGUAUGUGUAAUGUUCUCAGUCAACUUACCUGGUAAACUAAGGGUUAAAUUAUAAUAUUAAUAAUAGAGGAUGGAUAGGUGGAGGAAAUAAAAAAUAAGAUAUUAAAUGGAUUGAGGAAGAAAGAAAGAUAAAGGAAGUUAUGAAUAGAUGGACAGACAGACAGACAGACAGACAGACAGACAGACAGACAGACAGACAGACAGACAGACAGACAGACAGACAGACACACAGACAGACAGACAGACAGACAGACAGACAGACAGACAGACAGACAGACAGACAGACAGACAGACAGACAGACAGACAGACAGACAGACAGACAGACAGACAGACAGAUAGAUAUUUACAUAUUUACAUAUUUAUGCUUAUUUAUUUUCCCUUGUGUACUUUAACCAUUUGUACAUUGUUACAACACUGUACACUGUACACAUAUGUUUAAUAUGACAUUUGUAAUGUCUUUAUUGUUUUGAAACUUCUGUAUGUGUAAUGUUUACUGUUAAUUUUUAUUGGAUAUUUCACUUUUGUAUAUUAUCUACCUCACUUGCUUUGGCAAUGUUAACGCAUGUUUCCCAUGCCAAUAAAGCCCCUUGAAUUGAAUUGAUAGAUAGAUAGAUAGAUAGAUAGAUAGAUAGAUAGAUAGAUAGAUAGAUAGAUAGAUAGAAAUAUAGAUAGAGGGGUGAAGGUUAGAGACUGUGUGCUGUACAAUGUGUGCUGUGUACAAUACAAUAUACUGUGAUCAAUGUUUAUAAUAGAUGUUUAAUGAUUUGAUAAAAGGUGUAUUACUGCAUGAAGGGAAGUGGAGGUUUAGUAUUUAUUAUGACAUCAUUUUAGAACAGCUUCAAUGUUGCAGAUUGUUUCUGUUAUCAAUGUAAUUGUAAGCAUCAUUUCCAGUUUCCCAAAUCAGGGAUGUUGGAUUUGUUUAUCCUCAUUGGACAUGCUUAAUUCAUCUGUUCUGUUUGAAGAGCAGGUUUUUAUACUGGAAUUAUAUUUAUUGGU